UGACCUUGACCUCCUAACAGCCCUUUAGGCCAUAGCAUGCCAGCCAUCUUGAGAGAAACAAAAAUCCAGGAAAAGUAGUUUUAAUGUGAAAGUCAAAAGGAAAAUCUCCCAACCCUCUGUCCAGAAGGUCUUUAGCCAGGAAAGCCACUGAGAAAGCUGAAUUUCACUUCCCUUUCUAGCCAACAUGCCAGCAUUUUGCUUCUGUUUACUCAACCAAGGAGAAUGAUCUUCAGAACUGAAAAAGGAAAACUAAAACUAUUUAAAACUAUUUAAAACAGUGAACAGAAAAGAAGACAAGUGAAGAGACAGUAAUAUACCCUGAAAGCAUUCCCAAGGGAACAUCAGUUAGAACUUGACAAAACCUCUUCAGUUUCUUGAUGGAGAGGACAAGAGAGGUGGCUGGCAAAGCCUAGAUGGCUAGACUCAAGGUGUGACAAUAGAUCAGCGAGAGACCCUUUAGUAAGAUCUUCAGAGCUCUUUCCUUGGCCCUGAGCUGCUCCAUACUGUCAUCCCUACAAAGACCUGAAGAUGAGAAGAUCAGAUCAGCAAAUGGAAAAAAGCUGGGAGCCAUGGCUAACACAUUACCUGGGUGGCAGUGAGGCCCCAAACAGUUUUAAACUGCCUAAAGAGCCCUCCUUCUGGACUGCUUUGGCUUCUCUACUGCAUCCCCAGCCAACUCAUCACUGGGACAUUACAUCAGCCUUGGCUGUGUGAGCCUCAGCUCACACCAUCUCAGUACCUUCUGCCCCUCUGCUUGGAGGAUGGUACCACAAACUCCUCAAACAUCACUUAAGGAGGAAAGACAGGUGCAGCCAACUUUGAAAUCCUAAGAAAGUUAUCCUGGAAAAAGACAGGGAAUUCCAGCAAAACCACCUGCAGACCAAGGCCCUACAACUUGGUCAAGGAUGUCUGAGGGGCCAGGUUUCAGAUGAACAACUGGCACAUUUUAAAACUCCCCAGACCAGAGGAGAGUUUCAGUGCUCAGAUCAUUCUUCUUUCCUUUUCAAUGAUCUCACUUUCCAAGGGCUCAGUUACUAUCUAUGCAUAGGACUCCCACAUCUCCAUAUCCAGGCCUCAACUCUCACCCAAGCUUCAGUCUCAAAUCUCUACCAGCCUACCAGACAUCAGAAAACUGAAUGUCCCAUAAACAUCUUAAACUCAAAUUCUCCAAAACAGAACUGAUUUUCUCCCCCAUCCCCACCCCUGCAUCUACCUAUUCUCUAUUACUGUAUCCCCAGUCCCUCAGUCCCCCAACAUCCCAGUCAAGAUGUCAUCCUCCACUCUUCCCUCUUCUUCACUCUCCUAUUCUAAUCAGCUUCCAAAUAGGGUUCUUUCCAGUCCUCAAGAGCUCAUCUACCUCUGGAGUCUGAAUGAAGACUGAUACCUACUUCA